UACACAGCCUGCGUGUAUUAACCAUCUCUCGUUCUUGACUCGACCCGUCUGCUCUUUAACACCCUCACUUUAAUCUGAAAUCCUUGCAGACACAAAGGUCCUUGUUGGAUACAGCAGGAAAUGGGGGAUACACAAUCAAGAUCUAAUACACAUGUGGCCAAUGCAACAGAUAAGCACUUGAGAAUUUACUAUCAGACAACUAAGAUGACGCUUGAAGAGCUUGUGAUCAAAGCAGAUGCAGGGCUUGGCUAUUCAAACUUCAGCUUCUCGGCACAGGUGAACACCAGCACCACAAUGGUUUUUAAACCUGACUCGCGAGUGCGCUACCUCCGCCUUCCUCCUAGAGAAUUCACUAACUUCGCAGGGGAAGGGGAGCUGUUUGCCAGCGUCCUUGUGGAAGAUAAAGACAACCCAGAGGUCUACCUCAAGUACAUCUGCAUGAACUUCCAUGUUCCCAGUGACCGAUCCUUCAUUGUGACGGGCAGUGAAAACAUCAAGCUCCAGAAGUACGGUGCAAACGUCUGGGUUGAUGACGAUGGAACAAACCAUUCUGGAUAAUAAUUAUAAUAAUAAUAAUAAUAAUGAAACUUAAAAAAUAAUUGGACGUUUCAUUUGAUUUCCAUGUCAUUGUUCAAUAACAUCUUCUAAAACGUCUGGGUUGAUGACGAUGGAACGAACCAUCAAUGGUAUUAAUAAAAAAACUUUUCAAAACAAUUGUUAUUGCAAACUGAUAAAUAAGUUCUUCUAAAACGGAAACUGUGUGUUGUGUUAUUAGAUAAAUCACUGGUUUAUGCUUUUAUGAAUAAAAAUUGAUUUGAUGACUAAA